rnacentral:RNase_P_RNA from 1 species
AUGCACGGCCAACUGCUGCGGUUAAAACGUAGAGGAAAAUCCGCUCUAGCACUCGCUGCGAUGCGAGUAGUGAUCAUGCUAGGCCAAAUAAGCCUAGGCAGCCACAAUUGUGGUUGACGACAAGUGCAACAGAGACGAGCUUAUUUAGUUAAGGUGCAACGAUGUAAACUCCAUGAGUUAGAAACCCAAAUUUUGGUAGGGGAACCUAAUAGAGAUAAAUGAAUUAAAAUUAGGAAGUUUUAUAACUUAGAUAAAUAGUUGGCGCUAUAGUAAUAUAGUACAAAAAGCGGUUUAUAGUG